UACAGAGGCCUCGAGCGUUACGCGGAAUCACUGGGCUUAAAGGGUGCGUAGGCGGGUCUUCAAGUGCCUUGUGAAAGCCCACGGCUCAACCGUGGAAUUGCUUGGUAGACUGUUGAUCUUGAGUGCGGUAGAGGUCGUCGGAACAGUAGGUGGAGCGGUGAAAUGCGUAGAUAUCUACUGGAACGCCAAAGGUGAAGACAGGCGACUGGGCCGCAACUGACGCUGAGGCACGAAAGCGUGGGGAUCGAACGGG
rnacentral:rRNA from 1 species